rnacentral:rRNA from 1 species
CUUUAUUUUACGGUUACUUUUUCACAGUUGGAUUAAGGGGCUACUUAUGAGAUGGGGAUUAGAGACCCCCGUAUUGAGUGGGUUACUUUGUGUUUCCAUAGUCUAAACUAAAAAAACUUGGCAGCUGAUGAGAUUCUUCCGGGGGAGUGUGUGCCAUAAAGGAUAAUCCGCCUAGAUAUUUACCACUCCCAGUUAAGUUAGUGUAUAUCCGGCUCAACAUUCGUGGUUUAUGCUAGGGGUGGAUCUAGAGUUAGUUAAGUCAGG